rnacentral:lncRNA from 1 species
GACGGUGUAGUACCACUUAGGCGGAAAAAAAACUAUUUUUAACAUAGAAUUCUUCAUUCUCAAGGCUCAAUCGUAACUUUUGAUUAAAGAUGAAGAAAUCCUAACCAUUUUAGAAUCUUCUAUAAAUAUAAUGAUGGUCAUAGUAGUUAUUUUAGCUAAUUAGAUUAUGGUAUUUCCUUUUCUUUCGUGAUUUCAAAAUUUUGAACGUUUUUGUCUUGUAAGGAAAGUAGGCUAACGGUACAUUUAUAUACAUGGUAAUAAACCGACCAGCCCAACCUUGACCUAAAUAUAUAUAUAUUCUCAUUUCCAACUCCUUUCCUAGUAUCUAAGUAUUCCCUCUCCAUAGCUAUAAGUCUCCAAAGAGUAACGAGGAGAAAAGAAGAAAUCUUGGUUAUUUAGCCAGAACUGUGGAAAAAGUAUUGAUGAAGGAUAGCUAGAAUGCUGUGACAAAGAUAUGGCGGACGAAUGAAUGAAUGAAGAAGGUGCAAAACUUGGAUGUGCCUGGCUCCCUGUAUGCCACACACUUUCACCAAUCCGCGAGUUCUUUGAUUGGCUGAUCAGUGGGUGGCGUGCGAGGAGCCAAGCAUACCACAUUAUAUUCUUAAUCCAUCUUUCACCCUUAUUCCUCCUCCGGUAAAAACUUAUGUGGAUAUUUUUACCCUCUUCUCCCUAUCUUUAAUCUUUCCUUUUCUUUGAUUUUCUCUUACAGUCUAGACAUCGACACAAAAUUAAGAGUUAGUGAUAUUCUUCAAAUUAAUAAGUAUAUAUAAUCUCAUCAUACGUAUACUUUUGAGUAUUUUUUUACAUGUGUAUAUAUGGUUAGAAGCAAAAGAACUAGAUUUAAUUAAUUCACCACCAAAUUAAAAGUCGCUCUAAAAUUGCCUCGGCCAUCACCAUUGGUCCCACCUCACAAUAUUGACCAUUAGUCCUUUUUAUUUUUAUUUUUUGUUAUGCGAUUAUGGUGUGUUAAUCUCUAAUGUUAUCUAGACUUCUACACUUGCACUUUUAAAUUCAGGUAAUUAUCAUUCAAUGGCAUAGGCAGGAUUUUACGGAAGCGGUGUCAGGCGCAAUUUGUCAAUCGGGUUUGGAUCAAGGAGUAUGAUGGGUUUAGAGUUUUAUUUCAUGCUCCGAAUUAUCAUUUCCUUCUGGUGCAUGCAUUGCUUUGUCUACAAGUUAUAGCCUCUCUCGUGUUGUAUUAUGUACUAUAAACUUGCACGUAAACACGGUACGUUUGACGUAUCAUUGUUUGUAUUGGCACAGAAUAAAACUGAGGAGCUAAGAAUGUUGCCAACACCAACAUCUCUUGUUGAAGCAAUUAUAGCAGCUCUUGCACCCGUUAAUUUUUGGCUUCUAACAUUUCGAGUUUAGAAUUGAUCUCCUCACCUUUUUUCUAUUGAAUUUUCUUCAGUUUAUGCAUGCGUGAACAUGUCAAAACAAUGUAUAGUUCUAUCGUGUAACGAUUUCUAAUGCUUGAUUUUUUAUAUCUAUGUUUUCCUGUGCGAAAUCCACAUAUUGGAUUAAUAGUAUUAGCUUUUUGAAUAAUUAACAAUAGCAUUAAGAACGUAAGUUAAUAGGCUGAAAUUGUAAUAUUGACUAUCGACCAGUUUGUCUUUCAAAAUUCGAUGCUCAUUGUUUAAAGUUUUAAAUUUGCUGAUAUGAGAAUAAAAUAAACAUAUAUGUUGUGAUAGUGAAUAGCUAGUUGAGUUUCUUUAUUUUUAUAAAAUGGUAAUUCUUUUAAAGUUUAUUCGGAAAAUUCACUCACAAAAAUUCUCUUCAUUUAGUUUUUAAUUAUCGUCCUUGGCUCA